rnacentral:tRNA from 1 species
GGUUGUAGCUCAGUGGUAGAGCAUUUGCCAAGCACGUGUGAGGUACUGGGUUCAAUCCUCAGCACUA